UAUAUUUCCCUUUUUAUAAAAUCACAUGACUUCGCCAGGCAUAUGCACAUAUAUACUCAGUAUCAGCUCCAACUACACUUGGAUUCGGUUCUCACCAAAUCACUGAAAUUUCUGAAAAAACGAUAAUCUACAUGGCAGGUCCAAAAGACAUUCAGUAAGAGAAGGAGUUUCCUGGAGAAAACCACGGAUUUAGGUCUGAAGCUGAAGAACUACAUGGUCAAUAAAGCAGCAGGCCUUACGUCUGAAAUGAUACAGCCCUUGUGCCAACAAAGUGCUGAAGGAAAACAAAAAGUGGUUGACGGCAGUAACAAGUCCAACAGAACUUGCCCCAAUGGCAUCCCAUAUGUUUGAACAAGUUUACGUGAAUCAACGAUGCAACAAAUUUAAGUCAUUCAUCUUCAGAUGAUGAAGUGAUAAAACAAUCAGCGCUUGUGAUUUUUCCUACUUGUAGUGGUGUGCUCACAUCAAUCGAGGUCUUGGAGCGAGGAGAAAGCUCAAAAGGGUGAAAGCGUGAAUGUGCAGCAAUAAGAUAUGCUAGCCGUACACCAGAAGAAAUCCAAGCAAGGCGAGUAAGU